CAUUAUUCAGUCCCUUUCCCUCCCCUCCUUGCACGGGCAGCCUUCUCUGAAAUCUCAAACAGAAGCCUCCAGUUUCUCCUUGCAAUCUGAUUAUCAAUUUGCACCUCAGCAAUGGAAGGCCAGAACUCUAUUGUUUUGUUAAUUGUCAAUUUGCAUCUUUGAAAGGUGUUGUGCAUUUUCUACUUUUGGCAGGAUGGUUGGAGAUAGGAGCUUUUCCAAACUGCAAGCUGCAAAUGAAGAGGUGGCCAAAGUCACUCCUGAUGAGCAACAAGGAAGGCUUCCUCUGCAUGGAAGGAGGUUUUAAAAUCAUCCAAGCUACAAAAAGGCAAGGACCCUGCUGUGUUCUCCCUCCCAGAGUAAAUGCCAGACCUGUUCUCCCACCGAGUGCAAAGCUGCCCAGGAAACAACAGCUGGACCAAAAACCUCUGGGAAUCCAACUCAGCCUGAGGCACACGGGAACACCACAGAGAUCACCCCUUGGAAGAGCCCAGAAAGUCCUCUGAAAGAUCAAAUUCUGACUUCCUCCCAAAAUCCAAGUAAUAAAUUUCCAACAA